UCCGGUUGAUCCUGCCGGACCCUAUUGCUAUCGGGGUGAGGCUAAGCCAUGCAAGUCUGCCCUCCGACGGAGGGCGGCGUAAGGCUGAGUAAUACACAGUCAACUUACCCUUGGGACGGGAAUAACCACGGGAAACUGUGGAUAACUCCAGAUAGGUGAAGAUACCUGGAAGGGGUCUUCGCCCAAAGGGUAUCAGAGAAUGGUCUGAUACCGCCCUAGGAUAGGACUGUGGCUGAUCAGGUUGUUGGUGGAGUAACGGUCCACCAAGCCUAUAACCAGUAGGGGCUCUGAGAGGAGAAGCCCCCAGAUGGGACCUGAGACAAGGUCCUAGGCCCUACGGGGCGCAGCAGGCGCGAAAACUCCGCAAUGCGCGAAAGCGCGACGGGGUUACCCCGAGUGUCACCUGCUGAGGGUGACUUUUGCCUAGUGUAAAUAGCUAGGAGAAUAAGGGGAGGGUAAGUCUGGUGUCAGCCGCCGCGGUAAUACCAGCUCCCCGAGUGAUAGGGACGAUUAUUGAGCCUAAAGCGUCCGUAGCCGGCUUAACAUGUCUCCGGUUAAAUCCGACGGACUAACCGUCGAACUGCCGGAGAUACUAUUAGGCUAGGGGGCGGGAGAGGUCAAUGGUAUUCUUGGGGUAGGGGUGAAAUCCUUUAAUCCCAAGAGGACCACCGGUGGCGAAGGCGAUUGACUAGAACGCGCCCGACGGUGAGGGACGAAAGCUGGAGGAGCAAAGGGGAUUAGAUACCCCCGUAGUUCCAGCUGUAAACGAUGCAGGCUAGACGUUAGGACAACUAUGUGUUGCCCUAGUGUCGCAGGGAAGCCGUAAGCCUGCCGCUUGGGGAGUACGGCCGCAAGGCUGAAACUUAAAGGAAUUGGCGGGGGAGCACCACAAGGGGUGAAGCCUGCGGUUUAAUUGGAGUCAACGCCGGGAACCUUACUGGGGGAGACAGCCGCAUGAGGGUUGAGCUGAAGACUCGUCCCAAACGCGAGCUGAGAGGAGGUACAUAGCCGUCGCCAGCUCGUGCCGUGAGGCGUCCUGUUAAGUCAGGUAACGAGCGAGACCCCCGCUUAUAGUUGCUACUAGCCUCCUAGCCUUGCUGGGAGGCUAAGCACACUAUGAGGACCGCCACCGAUAAGGUGGAGGAAGGUGGGAACGACGGCAGGUCAGUAUGCCCCGAAUCCCCCAGGCCACACGCGGGCUGCAAUGGUAGGGACAGCGGGUUCCGACCUCGAAAGGGGAAGGUAAUCCCUAAACCCUACCGUAGUUGGGAUCGAGGGCUGCAACCCGCCCUCGUGAACAUGGAAUCCCUAGUAAUCGCACGUCAUCAUCGUGCGGUGAAUACGUCCCUGCUCCUUGCACACACCGCCCGUCGCUCCACCCGAGUUGAGCUUCGAUGAGAUCUAGCCACACGGUUAGACCAAGUCGAAGCCCGGCAAGGGGGGAGAAGUCGUAACAAGGUAACCGU
rnacentral:rRNA from 1 species